rnacentral:tRNA from 5 species
GGGAGCGUGGCGGAAUUGGUAGACGCACUAGAUUUAGGAUCUAGCGCCUUCGGGUGUGGGGGUUCGAGUCCCCCCGCUCCCA